CUGGCGGCGUAGCUUAACACAUGCAAGUCGAGCGGAGAUAUGAAAUUGGAGAGCUCGGCAGGAAGAUUCAUAUUUAGCGGCGGACGGGUGAGUAACGUGUGGGCAACCUGCCCUGUACUGUGGAAUAAUCACUGGAAACGGUGACUAAUACCGCAUGUCAUUGCGAGAGGGCAUCCUCUUGCAAGAAAAGGAUUUAUUCGGUACAGGAUGGGCCCGCAUCUGAUUAGCUAGUUGGUGAGAUAACAGCCCACCAAGGCAACGAUCAGUAGCCGACCUGAGAGGGUGAUCGGCCACAUUGGGACUGAGACACGGCCCAAACUCCUACGGGAGGCAGCAGUGGGGAAUAUUGCACAAUGGGCGAAAGCCCUGAUGCAGCAACGCCGCGUGAAGGAAGAAGGGUUUCGGCUCGUAAACUUCUAUCAACAGGGACGAAAAAAUGACGGUACCUGAAUAAGAAGCCCCGGCUAACUACGUGCCAGCCGCCGC
rnacentral:rRNA from 1 species